rnacentral:rRNA from 2 species
UCCAGCCUGCCCAGUGACAAAGUUAAACGGCCGCGGUACCCUAACCGUGCGAAGGUAGCGCAAUCACUUGUUCUUUAAAUGAGGACUAGUAUGAAUGGCAUCACGAGGGUUAUACUGUCUCCCCCUUUUAAUCAGUGAAACUGAUCUUCCCGUGAAGAAGCGGGAAUAUAUCUAUAAGACGAGAAGACCCCAUGGAGCUUAAAACUCAGUAUCAGCUGCCCUCUAAUAUAUCCUCUUAAUUAAGCAGAUUUGACUACUAGUUUUCGGUUGGGGUGACCGCGGAGCAAAACAAAACCUCCACGAUGAAAGGAACUAAUUUCCUAAUCAAAGAACCACAUUUCUAUGAAUCAACAAAUUGACAUUUAUUGAUCCAAUUUUUUUGAUCAACGAACCAAGUUACCCUGGGGAUAACAGCGCAAUCCAUUUCAAGAGCCCCUAUCGACAAAUGGGUUUACGACCUCGAUGUUGGAUCAGGGUAUCCCAGUGGUGCAGCCGCUACUAAAGGUUCGUUUGUUCAACGAUUAAAACCCUACGUGAUCUGA